UGACAACUUGUGCAUCUCCUUCAACCGUAAUCUUCUUGAAGCCUUUUGCUCUAGGAAGGAAAAUGGCUUCUCGACAUGCCAUGCAUUUAAGAACAAGUGAACUCGUCACAUUAUGGAAGACUUUGCAUAUCCAGCCGUAAGGGUAUCCUUGGUGAGAUUAUGUGUGUGGCCAAAUGCUAAUCCUCUUGAAAUUAAGGGAGAGCAUUUCGGUUGGUUUCGAUUCUAAAUUGAAUCAAAUUUGAAAAACUGAAAAACUAAACUCAUAUAAAAUGCUAACCAAAAUCGAAUCAAAUUG
rnacentral:misc_RNA from 1 species